rnacentral:rRNA from 1 species
GAUGAACGCUGGCGGCGUGCCUAAUACAUGCAAGUCGAGCGAACAGAUGAGGAGCUUGCUCCUCUGACGUUAGCGGCGGACGGGUGAGUAACACGUGGAUAACCUACCUAUAAGACUGGGAUAACUUCGGGAAACCGGAGCUAAUACCGGAUAAUAUAUUGAACCGCAUGGUGCAAUAGUGAAAGACGGUGUUGCGGUCACUUAUAGAUGGAUCCGCGCCGCAUUAGCUAGUUGGUAAGGUAACGGCUUACCAAGGCAACGAUGCGUAGCCGACCUGAGAGGGUGAUAGCCCACCCUGGAACUGGAACACGGUCCAGAGUCCUACGGGAGGCAGCAGUAGGGAAUCUUCCGCAAUGGGCGAAAGCCUGACGGAGCAAGGGCGCGUGAGUGAUGAAGGUCUUCGGAUCGUAAAAAUCUGUUAUUAGGGAAGAACAACUGUGUAAGUAACUAUGCACGUCUUGACGGUACCUAAUCAGAAAGCAACGGCUAACUACGUG